CGGCGACAUGAGCAGAUUGUGCCAGAUGCUAAUACUUGUGCUGCUCUUGCUCGUGCUAUUGUCGUGGGGUUGUGCCUCAUUUUGCUGCUGCUGGUCGUCUUCCACUGCUACCGGUAUGUACUUACAUCAUGAGCACAUACAGCACGACGACGGCGGAGGAGACGGUGGCGAGGUCGACGACCAUCUCGCCGGAGUGCCUGGAGUUGACGGACAUGAAGACCGCUGCAACGAGCUUCUGGAACGCGUUGAGCCCUCCAAGGCCACCGGAGCCCCACUCCAUGGCGCAGUAGAGCACCAGCUGCACCGCCAGGAACACCGCCACGGUGAGAGCAAGGAACCAUGUGCGCGGUCCCGGGAGCAGGUGGUCGUAG
rnacentral:misc_RNA from 1 species